rnacentral:rRNA from 1 species
AUUGAACGCUGGCGGCAUGCCUUACACAUGCAAGUCGAGCGGCAGCGCGGGGGCAACCCUGGCGGCGAGCGGCGAACGGGUGAGUAAUACAUCGGAACGUGUCCAGUAGCGGGGGAUAACCUGUCGAAAGAUAGGCUAAUACCGCAUACGACCUACGGGUGAAAGCGGGGGACUCUCGGGCAACUGAGGGCCUCGCACUAUUGGAGCGGCCGAUGUCGGAGUAGCUAGUUGGCGGGGUAACGGCCCACCAAGGCGACGAUCCGUAGCUGGUCUGAGAGGACGACCAGCCACACUGGAACUGAGACACGGUCCAGACUCCUACGGGAGGCAGCAGUGGGGAAUUUUGGACAAUGGGCGCAAGCCUGAUCCAGCCAUGCCGCGUGAGUGAAGAAGGCCUUCGGGUUGUAAAGCUCUUUCGGCGGGGACGAAACGGUCCGUGACAACACCACGGACUAAUGACGGUACUCGCAGAAGAAGCACCGGCUAACUACGUGCCAGCAGCCGCCGUAA